rnacentral:rRNA from 1 species
CACGUAGGGUGCAAGCGUUGUCCGGAAUUAUUGGGCGUAAAGAGCUCGUAGGCGGUUCGUCGCGUCUGCUGUGAAAACUGGAGGCUCAACCUCCAGCCUGCAGUGGGUACGGGCAGACUAGAGUGCGGUAGGGGAGACUGGAAUUCCUGGUGUAGCGGUGAAAUGCGCAGAUAUCAGGAGGAACACCGGUGGCGAAGGCGGUUCUCUGGGCGAUGAUCUG